AUGGAACGGAUGGCCAGCUCAUACUUGAAGGAGGUAUUUACAAAAGACCCAACCUUGGAUCCGAGCGUGGUACUGGAUACUAUAACACCUAAAGUCUCGGCGGAGAUGAAUGAGGCCUUGUGUAAAGUUUAUACGGAGGAGGAGAUAUCCAACGCGUUGUUUCAGAUUGGCCCGUUGAAGGCACCGGGAUGUGACGGGUUUCCGGCAAGGUUUUAUCAACGCAAUUGGGCUGUCCUCAAGGAUGAGAUAGUGGCAGCGGUGCAGAAGUUUUUGACCAAUGGUGUCAUGCCGAGUGGGGUUAAUGAUACGACCAUUGUGCUAAUUCCCAAAAUGCAACAUCCUAGAGAGCUCAAGGAUUUCAGACCCAUUAGCUUAUGCAAUGUGGUGUAUAAGAUCGUCUCAAAGUGCAUGGUAAAUAGGCUCCGGCCUCUCUUAACUGAACUUAUCUCUGAAAAUCAGAGUGCCUUUAUCCCCGGGAGGCUUAUUUCUGAUAACUCCAUCAUUGCAUUUGAGUGUACUCAUCACAUCCAAAACGUCAAAGCAAAUUCCCCACCGUUGUGUGCUUACAAGCUAGAUUUGUCAAAGGCUUAUGAUCGUGUUGAUUGGAACUUCCUGGAGAAGGCUCUUUCCAAGUGGGGAUUCUCCGAUGUAUGGAUAUCGCGUGUCAUGGCAUGUGUGACUUCUGUGAAGUAUUCUGUGAAAUUCAAUGGGAAGUUGUUGGAGCCCUUUUCCCCCUCAAGAGGGCUCCGCCAAGGUGAUCCGUUAUCCCCCUUCCUCUUCCUCUUUGUGGCUGACGCUCUGUCUGCUCUUUUGAAUAAAACAAUUAGUGAAGAUGGAUUGCAAGGGGUCAAGAUAUGCAGGAGUGCUCCGGUUAUUUCACAACUUUUGUUUGCCGGCGACUCACUACUGUUCUUUCACGCUUCGAAACAGCAAGCUAGUUUGGUCAAGAAUGUGUUGAACACGUAUUCGGCGGCGACUGGACAAUUAAUCAACCCGUCGAAGUGCUCCAUCCUCUUUUCAGAAAACUGCUUGCCAAGUGUGGUGAAUGAGGUUAAGUCUGUCCUGGAGAUUACACAAGAAGUUUUUGAUCCUAAGUAUUUGGGUCUCCCGGUUCCGGAAGGAAGAAUACAUAAAGGAAAUUUCGAAACCAUCCAGGAUCGUUUGCGCAAGAAACUUAUUGAUUGGAGUGAGCAAUAUGUGUCCUCUGGUAACAAGGAGAUUUUGAUCAUGGCUGUCGCGCAAGCCCUACCCACUUAUGUCAUGAGUGUCUUUAAGCUUCCUGCCUUGGUCUGUGAUGAGCUGACUCGUAUGAUUCGUCAAUAUUGGUGGGGAGUCGAGAACGGGAGGAAGAAGAUGGCAUGGAAGAGUUGGGACAAGUUGAGGCUUCCUAAACCUAUGGGAGGUAUGGGGUUUAAGGAUAUGAGGGCAUAUAACCAAGCUUUGUUGGCCAAACAAGAUUGGCGACUUAUUGACUCGCCGGAUAGCCUGUGUGCAAGGCUUAUGAAGGCACGAUACUACCCGUCGGGACAACUGCUUGAUACGUCGUUCUCAGGCAAUGGAUCUUCAGUCUGGAAGGGUAUCUUACAUGGUCUUGAUCUGCUAAAGAAAGGUGUCAUUUGGAGGGUUGGCAAUGGAGCUGAUAUACGCACUUGGAGGGACCCCUGGAUUCCCCGCCCGUCGACGUUUCGCCCUAUCACUCCCAAUAGAAACUGUCGGCUAAACCGGGUGGCGGAUUUCAUUGAUGAUAACGGUGCUUGGCGUGUUGAUCGCCUACGAGAGUUCUUCUGGCCUAUGGACGUGGAUUACAUACUAAAAAUCAGGACCUCUCCUCAUAACCGCGAUGACUUUGUAUCCUGGUUCCCGGAGAAGUCUGGACUCUUCACGGUGCGGAGCGCGUAUAAGUUGGCCACAUGCGAUCACAACGUCGCUUUUGCCAAUGGAUCAUCUAGUACAAACCCGGACGGUAAUCGCAUAGUAUGGAACCGUAUUUGGGAGGCUAAUGUGCCCUAG
rnacentral:rRNA from 1 species